rnacentral:rRNA from 1 species
UAGAGUUUGAUCAUGGCUCAGGAUGAACGCUAGCGACAGGCUUAACACAUGCAAGUCGAGGGGCAGCGGUGGUGAAGGCUUGCCUUUACCAGCCGGCGACCGGCGCACGGGUGAGUAACACGUAUGCAACCUGCCUGCCACAGCCGGAUAAUCGGGAGAAAUUCCGUCUAAUACGGCAUAAUGCACCUAUGGGACAUCCUGUUGGUGCCAAAGGUUAAUUCCGGUGGCGGAUGGGCAUGCGUCGCAUUAGUUAGUUGGCGGUGUAACGGACCACCAAGACGACGAUGCGUAGGGGUUCUGAGAGGAAGGUCCCCCACACUGGUACUGAGACACGGACCAGACUCCUACGGGAGGCAGCAGUGAGGAAUAUUGGUCAAUGGGCGGGAGCCUGAACCAGCCAAGUCGCGUGAGGGAUGACGGCCCUAUGGGUUGUAAACCUCUUUUGCCGGGGAGCAAAGUGCCGCACGUGUGCGGUUUGGAGAGUACCCGGAGAAAAAGCAUCGGCUAACUCCGUGCCAGCAGCCGCGGUAAUACGGAGGAUGCGAGCGUUAUCCGGAUUUAUUGGGUUUAAAGGGUGCGUAGGCGGACGCUUAAGUCAGCGGUAAAAUUGCGGGGCUCAACCUCGUCGAGCCGUUGAAACUGGGUGCCUUGAGUGGGCGAGAAGUACGCGGAAUGCGUGGUGUAGCGGUGAAAUGCAUAGAUAUCACGCAGAACUCCGAUUGCGAAGGCAGCGUACCGGCGCCCAACUGACGCUGAAGCACGAAGGCGUGGGUAUCGAACAGGAUUAGAUACCCUGGUAGUCCACGCAGUAAACGAUGAAUGCUAGUUGUCCGGGGCGAUUGAGUUCUGGGUGACACAGCGAAAGCGUUAA